GAUGAACGCUAGCGACAGGCCUAACACAUGCAAGUCGAGGGGCAGCACAUGAGUAGCAAUACGAUGGUGGCGACCGGCGCACGGGUGAGUAACACGUAUGCAACCUGCCUUCUACUAUGGGAUAACCCGUUGAAAGACGGACUAAUACCGUAUAAUACAGGGGCUCCGCAUGGAGAUAUUUGUUAAAGAUUUAUUGGUAGAAGAUGGGCAUGCGUAUGAUUAGAUAGUUGGUGGGGUAACGGCUCACCAAGUCAACGAUCAUUAGGGGUUCUGAGAGGAAGGUACCCCACACUGGUACUGAGACACGGAACAGACUCCUACGGGAGGCAGCAGUGAGGAAUAUUGGUCAAUGGACGAGAGUCUGAACCAGCCAAGUCGCGUGAAGGAAGACGGUUCUAUGAAUUGUAAACUUCUUUUGUGCAGGAAUAAAGUGGGUUACGUGUAACCUUUUGUAUGUACUGUACGAAUAAGGAUCGGCUAACUCCGUGCCAGCAGCCGCAGUAAAAC
rnacentral:rRNA from 1 species